GAGCGGCGGACUCGGUCUGGAGGAACUCAGUCUCGGAGAGGGAUCGGUCCUGGGGACCCGUCCAGUGGCUCCCGCCCCGCGCCCCGUCCCACGCGCAGCGCAGGUCCCGCCCGGGGCCUCACCAGCCGCGCCGGCUCCGCCCGUCCGGCCAGCGUCCGUCAGUCGGCCGGUCCGAGCCCUUGGCCCCGCCUCCUCGUGACGUCACAAUGCCAGGGCCCCGCCUACCGCUGCCGGGACGGGCGCCGGCGGGUCCUAGAGAGCAAAUCGGGCCGGGGAGGUGGGGACCCGGAGCGGAAAGGUGGGGGCGGACACAGCGCGGCCGCCUUCCCGGCCCGCGGUAGGAGAUGCCUGCCUGGCUGAGCCGCUUUUUCCGGGGCAGGGUCCCGCGUGGACGGUCCCCACAUGUCCCCGGGCGAGGGCCAUGUAGACUCGGCGCUCGGCCACCGGGAGCGGAGGAGGGAGUCCUGUCAUCGCCCCGCGGUCAGCGCGUGGCCUGGGGACCCCUCUAGUGGGGACAAGGGGGUGUGCCGGCAGGGGACAUCACCCUUCGUGGGGACCAGGGGAGCGGCCCCCAGCCAUAACAGUGAAUCUUAAGAUCAGCAGCAUCUUACAUUAAAGGCCUUAGAAACAAGACCAUCACAUGGACUCCAGCGUGGGGCACUUCCACUGACAUUUACUCUUCACAAGACAGUUUCCUCAUUGUCAUAGUAAUAGUGAUAAUGAUAGGAAAUAGGUAGAGAGUGUUACAAUGUAAUAGCAAUAGAAAAAUAAUUAAAGAGUGUUAUGGGAAAUGUAGAAAAAUUAUUUUGUGUGAAAUAUUAAAAAGCACAGGGAAUGACCACUGUGGCCAAGCCCUAGCUGCACCAUAUAGAUAAGACCAUAGCUGAAUGCUACCCUUAGGAAUGAUGUAUGUAAACCUGAUAGACACCUUCUGAGUGACACUGUGAUUGAUAAGCAGCUUGUACUCUGAUUAACACUUGUGUGAUGAGGUAAGUUUCUGAUAGCCACCUGGACUGCCGUGGGUCAGAACAGGCUUAAAAACGAUCAUCCUCUCUUGAUCCACACUCCACACUGCCUUGCUCCACGCUGGAUGGCAGAAGAACAGCCAAACCUCCGAUCUUGAGACUUCGGUUGCCCUCCUCCCGCUGACUGAACCCAACCAGACAGUCAGCCACCAAAGAGGAUCUGCCACUGCCCGCAGAGGACACCACUCUUCCCUGGGGACCCCAUUAAGUCUGAGCCCAUGGCACCAGGAACCUUGUGAGCAAUAAAGUGUGCUGUGUGAUUUGCAACUGCA